rnacentral:rRNA from 1 species
GACAGAGGGUGCAAACGUUGUUCGGAAUCACUGGGCGUAAAGGGUGCGUAGGCGGGUCUUUAAGUCAGGGGUGAAAUCCUGGAGCUCAACUCCAGAACUGCCUUUGAUACUGAGGAUCUUGAGUACGGGAGAGGUGAGUGGAACUGCGAGUGUAGAGGUGAAAUUCGUAGAUAUUCGCAAGAACACCAGUGGCGAAGGCGGCUCACUGGCCCGGAUACUGACGCUGAGGCACGAAAGCGUGGGGAGCAAACAGG